rnacentral:rRNA from 1 species
UACGUAGGGGGCAAGCGUUGUCCGGAAUCAUUGGCGUAAAGAGCGUGUAGGCGGACUUAAAGGUCUGGUGUGAAAGCCCGGGGCUCAACCCCGGAGGGUCACUGGAAACCAUAAGUCUUUGAAUCUGGAAGAGGAGAGUGGAAUUCCUGGUGUAGCGGUGGAAUGCGCAGAUAUCGGGGAGGAACACCAAUUACGAAGGCAGCUCGCUGGGACGUCACUGACGCUGAGACGCGAAAAGCGUGGGGGAGCAAACAGG